GUAGGAGAGUACAGCUCCUUUAGAGACGAGGAGAUGGAGUAGGUAGGAGAGUACAGCUCCUAUAGAGACGGGGAGAUGGAGUAGGUAGGUGAGUACAGCUCCUUUAGAGACGGGGAGAUGGAGUAGGUAGGAGAGUACAGCUCCUUUAGAGACGGGGAGAUGGAGUAGGGAGGAGAGUACAGCUCCUUUAGAGACGGGGAGAUGGAGUAGGGAGGAGAGUACAGCUCCUUUAGAGACAGGGAGAUGGAGUAGGUAGGAGAGUACAGCUCCUUUAGAGACAGGGAGAUGGAGUAGGUAGGAGAGUACAGCUCCUUUAGAGACGGGGAGAUGGAGUAGGUAGGAGAGUACAGCUCCUUUAGAGACGGGGAGAUGGAGUAGGUAGGAGAGUACAGCUCCUUUAGAGACGGGGAGAUGGAGUAGGUAGGAGAGUACAGCUCCUUUAGAGACGGGGAGAUGGAGUAGGUAGGAGAGUACAGCUCCUUUAGAGACAGGGAGAUGGAGUAGGUAGGAGAGUACAGCUCCUUUAGAGACGGGGAGAUGGAGUAGGUAGGAGAGUACAGCUCCUUUAGAGACGGGGAGAUGGAGUAGGUAGGAGAGUACAGCUCCUUUAGAGACGGGGAGAUGGAGUAGGUAGGAGAGUACAGCUCCUUUAGAGACGGGGAGAUGGAGUAGGUAGGAGAGUACAGCUCCUUUAGAGACAGGGAGAUGGAGUAGGUAGGAGAGUACAGCUCCUUUAGAGAUGGGGAGAUGCUCACCUGAGUAUGUGAGGUGGGGACAGAGAGAUGCUCACCUGGGUAGGUGAAGUGGAGACAGGGAGAUGCCCACCUGGGUAAGAGAGUUGGAGACAGGGAGAUGUCCACCUGGGUAGGAGAGAUGGAGACAGGGAGAUGUCCACCUGGGUAGGAGAGAUGCUGGCAGGGAGAUGUCCACCUGGGUAGGUGAGAUGCUGGCAGGGAGAUGUCCACCUGGGUAGGAGAGAUGCUGGCAGGGAGAUGUCCACCUGGGUAGGUGAGAUGCUGGUAGGGAGAUGUCCACCUGGGUAGGAGAGGUGGAGACAGGGAGAUGUCCACCUGGGUAGGUGAGGUGGAGACAGGGAGAUGUCCACCUGGGUAGGAGAGAUGGAGACAGGGAGAUGUCCACCUGGGUAGGUGAGGUGGAGACAGGGAGAUGUUCACCUGGGUAGGAGAGAUGCUGGCAGGGAGAUGUCCACCUGGGUAGAUGAGAUGCUGACAGGGAGAUGUCCACCUGGGUAGGAGAGAUGGAGACAGGGAGAUGUCCACCUGGGUAGGAGAGAUGGAGACAGGGAGAUGUCCACCUGGGUAGGAGAGAUGGAGACAGGGAGAUGUCCACCUGGGUAGGUGAGGUGGAGACAGGGAGAUGUCCACCUGGGUAGGAGAGAUGCUGGCAGGGAGAUGUCCACCUGGUAGGUGAGAUGCUGGCAGGGAGAUGUCCACCUGGGUAGGUGAGAUGCUGGCAGGGAGAUGUCCACCUGGGUAGGUGAGAUGCUGACAGGGAGAUGUCCACCUGGGUAGGAGAGGUGGAGACAGGGAGAUGUCCACCUGGGUAGGAGAGAUGCUGGCA